AACACGGAACACGGGACACGACACCCGCAUCUGUCCGACCGAUCCGAGCUGAAGCAAUCCCCGACCGGCGACUUACUACUACAACUUUUCAAAUGCUACUCGUGAGACUGAGACCCCGGUUCCACCAAAGCAAUACGAGUAAAAUAUUCUUGAUUAAAACUUAUCAGAGCACAUUUCAUAUCACCUUUUCAAAAACGCAACAAACAACAACAACAACAGUCAACAACACCCAAUGAGUAACGCUCGUCAGCUCGGUAGCUACUUUAUUAUCGGAGAAACGGUCGAACUCGUUCCUCUUUCCCCGUGCCCAGUGCCCCGAUCCCCGAUCCCGCUCCCUGCUGCCCGGUGUGUGUAGUUUGGCUGCCUCGCCGAUUGGACGACCGGCGAACGCAAGAUAUGGCUAUCUGAGCCGGCAUAGUACCACCCAGCCCCACUGACGCCACAGAAAUCGACAGAGAGUGGAAGAGAGAGCGAGAGAGAGUGAGAGAGAGCCCUGGAGUCCAAACCCGAUUUGAUUAAGUUGCAUCACGCGUCGGUCGCGCGACUAUACUUAUCGGACCAAUUGUUUUGUUUUGGUGACGAUGACAACGGAAACUUGGGAAACACCGCCAACACUACUGAUUACCACUAUCUGAGAUGUUCAUGGGAAAAACAAAAAAAAAACUAAAAGAUUGCAAGCAUCCAGUCAACUUUAAACUAU